AAGAAUAGAGCUUGAUUAUAAGUUUUUUAUUUACAAUAAAGGGAUACAGUUGUUGUUCUUA
rnacentral:tRNA from 1 species